rnacentral:rRNA from 1 species
AUUGAACGCUGGCGGCAGGCCUAACACAUGCAAGUCGAACGAGUGGCGGACGGGUGAGUAAUGUCUGGGAAACUGCCUGAUGGAGGGGGAUAACUACUGGAAAGGGUAGCUAAUACCGCAUCCCAUCGGAUGUGCCCAGAUGGGCUUAGCUAGUAGGUGGGGUAAAGGCUCACCUAGGCGACGAUCCCUAGCUGGUCUGAGAGGAUGACCAGCCACACUGGAACUGAGACACGGUCCAGACUCCUACGGUAGGCAGCAGUGGGGAAUAUUGGAAAAUGGGAGCAAGCCUGAUGCAGCCAUGCCGCGUGUGUGAAGAAGGCCUUCGGGUUGUAAAGUACUUUCAGCGGGGAGGCGUUACCUGCAGAAGAAGCACCGGCUAACUCCGUGCCAGCAGCCGCGGUAAUUC